rnacentral:rRNA from 1 species
UACGAAGGGGGCGAGCGUUGUUCGGAAUUACUGGGCGUAAAGGGCGCGUAGGCGGCGACCCAAGUCAGAUGUGAAAUCCCCGGGCUUAACCUGGGAAUGGCACUUGAAACUACGGGACUGGAGUGUGGCAGAGGGAGGUGGAAUUCCACGUGUAGCGGUGAAAUGCGUAGAUAUGUGGAGGAACACCAAUGGCGAAGGCAGCCUCCUGGGUCAACACUGACGCUCAUGCACGAAAGCGUGGGGAGCAAACAGG